rnacentral:rRNA from 1 species
UAAGUAGGGGGCGAGCGUUGUCGGGAUUUAUUGGGCGUAAAGAGCGUGUAGGCGGCCGAGUAGGUCCGUUGUGAAAACUGAAGGCUCAACCUUCAGAGGUCGAUGGAAACCGUUCGGCUAGAGUCCGGAAGAGGAGAGUGGAAUUCCUGGUGUAGCGGUGAAAUGCGCAGAUAUCAGGAAGAACACCCGUGGCGAAAGCGGCUCUCUGGGACGGUACUGACGCUGAGACGCGAAAGCGUGGGGAGCGAACAGG